GACGAACGCUGGCGGCGUGCCUAAUACAUGCAAGUAGGACGCAGUUGCGAACGGGUGAGUAACGCGUAGGUGACUACCUAUUAGAGGGGGAUAACUAUUGGAAACGAUAGCUAAUACCGCAUACUCGUAGAUGGACCUGCGUUGUAUUAGCUAGUAGGUAGGGUAAUGGCCUACCUAGGCAAAGAAACAUAGCCGACCUGGGAGGGGGUUCGGGCAAACUGGGACUGGGGAAAGGCCCAGACUCCUUCGGGAGGGAGCAGUAGGGAAUCUUCGGCAAUGGGGGGAACGCUUACCGAGCAACGCCGCGUGAGUGAAGAAGGUUUUCGGAUCGUAAAGCCCUGUUGUUAAGGAAGCGGUACUUAACCAGAAAGGGACGGCUAACUACGUGCCAGCAGCCGCGGUAAUUC
rnacentral:rRNA from 1 species